rnacentral:rRNA from 1 species
UACAGAGGGUGCGAGCGUUAAUCGGAAUUACUGGGCGUAAAGGGCGCGUAGGUGGCCGGGUAAGUUCGAUGUGAAAGCUCUGAGCUUAACUCAGAAAUGGCAUUGAAUACUAUCCGGCUCGAGGGUUGGAGGGGGGACUGGAAUUCUCGGUGUAGCAGUGAAAUGCGUAGAUAUCGAGAGGAACACCAGUGGCGAAGGCGAGUCCCUGGACGACUCCUGACACUGAGGUGCGAAAGCCGGGGGAGCAAACAGG